rnacentral:lncRNA from 1 species
GGAACUCUUUUUUUAAAAAAAAAGCAUUAUGCUGGAAACAUAUAAACAGAAAUGAGUACGAUUUCACCCAUAUUACGUGUAAGUUGCAGGCACCGGCCAAGAUAUGAUUUUAACCUGCAUUUCUUGUCGCUACUACAGAAUGAAUCUGCCUCGCAUUUCUCCUUGGUUGGUUCACAGAAGAUGCAUGACUAAAAUAAGUAAGAGCAGUUUUUUUUAUAUACAUUAAUGUUGGUAGGAACAGCGAAACAAGAGCUCACUUUUCCUAGCAGCAACAGAAAGCACGCAACAGCCGAUGCAGUUCUUCGCAUUACAAGAUCACAAUCUACAACAGGUGCAAGUUCAUCACAGAAUUAAUUGAGAAACUCAAGUAGCAGUGUAGCACACGUUUUCAUUCAUACAUACACCACAAGGAUGGUCAAACACUUAAAUAACAAGACGCAAGCCUUCCCACAGUCUAGAAACAAGAGAGGAAGCCGUCUGCUCAUCUUGAUUAAUUGCUGUGGUUAGCUCAUAUUUUAUUCUUUUUAUUGAUGGAAGUGGUUUGCUCAUCCUGAUUGCUGUGGUUCUUGAACAAUCAUUCUCCAGUCCUUCAUCCAGAAGCAUGCACUCCUUCCAUGCAUACAACGUCAUGUAGCUUCACGACCAAUCACAUGAUUAAGGAAAGAUAGCUCCAGUCACUUCCAAUGGCAAGAAAACAGAGCACGAAUGGAAAGCGGAGGAGAAAUAAAUAUGCAAAAUAUCCAGUGAAUGGUCAUACCUUGCACAUUCGUAGCUAUAUAAAAGUAUCACUCCUCCCAAGGGUAGACAUCCAGGUCUUCUCCGUGCAGCUGUUGGUGACGCUCUUGGAGUCCAGCUAGCCAUUGUGAGGAGACAUCUUCCAUAUCCUCUGUCAGAAACAGCUGGUGCAACUUGUCCAAACCCUCAACACACCUCAGAGCUUCACAUAGACCUACACGCAACAGUUUCAUCUGGGGAAUAUUUGAGAUCCUCUCCAGGCAUUCACAAUAUGAGACUGAAAGUUCCUCAGACAGAAAUGGGAAGUUCUCCACCACCUUAAUAUUGUCCAUGAAUUUUAAUCGGAGCUCCUUCAAGCUGGUGGCUUCCUGUCCAAGCUGCCGUGGAAGAGCUCUCAGCUUGGGGCAGCUGUAAAAAUCCAGGCCCUUCAAACGUGGCAGCAGCUGCAUCCUUGGAGGUGGGGCUUCCCCCUUUUGCUUUGCAGCAGCUCCAUCCUCUCCACCUUCCUUACCUGCUGCCGUUGCUUCUUCUUCUUCAACUACAAAGGUCCACUCCUCCCAGUUGGGCAUAUACCCGAUGGACAAAAUUUCAAGCUUGGGGAAAGCAACUGCCUCUGGAGAUCCGAAAUUACCCACCCCCAAGCCAAUAAAUUCAGGUCCAAUCUUGGUGACUGCAGUUGCUCCCUGGAUUCUCAGGAAUUUCAAGUUGGGAAGGUGCCCGAUUGGAGGAAGUUGCGUAUAGGAUUUGCAAUGUUUAAGUAUCAAGUAUUUUAGUGAAGGCAAAUGUCUAGCAGCACCUAACCAGGUAGGAAACCUCCGACCACAAAAUCGCUUCAAAACUAGAGCUUCCAGGUUUUUUGGAGGUAUUAGCUGAUCAAAUACCUUCUCAAUAUUACUAAUAACCUCUUCAGAGUAUGGUUCCUCCGCACAUUCAGUGCAAUAUAAAUAUAAUUCUUUAAGAUGCUUUUUAUUAGUUAGUAGUGAAUCUAUACUGCAAACAGCAGAUGCUUCCAAUUUUGUAAUAAGAAGCUGCCUCAACUGCAAAAGAGGACCCAACUCUUCUAGAUUCCAUCCAUCUUGCAUUGCAGUGCUAUAAUCACUUCUACCACAAAUUGGAAAUCCAUCUAAAUUAUUGAGGUAUUUCAAACCCCCAAUACCUUUUGGAACCUUAUUUAUUGCCGAACCUUUGAGACCAAGACUCCUUAAGUUAAAUAAUCUACAGAUUGCUAAAGGAAGGCUGUGCAAACUGUCACACUUGUUCAAUUCCAAUACCUCAAGGUUUUUGAGAGAACCAAUAGACUCCGGAAGGCAAGUUAUGCUGGUGUCAUUAAGAUUCAACAAGCGCAAAUGAAUCAAACUUCCAAUAUAAUCUGGAAUAUUUUCUACACUUGACCCACUUAAAUCCAAAACACGAAUAUAUGGAAAUCGCUUGAAAAUUGAAGAUUCAACUACCAAUGACUUGCCACAGAAAUUUAUUGAAGUUCUCACUUUGAGUUGAUGCCUGUCCACAAUAGGUAAAGAGAUCAUAUCAUUGCAUGUUACAACUGACACACGUCGCAAUUUAGAUAUACUCCUGCAAUCCAACGAUCGUGGGUCUCCAAAGAAACACUCUUCUCUUGAUAAAUGCUGAGCAAGUUGUCUUAAGAGGUCAUGCAUUGUGCACCUGUAUGGUUCUGCAUACCGAGGAUCUGGUAGGAGGAGGUUCCUUGAGACCAACUCACAGAAGUAUUCUUCUGCUGUAUCUUCUAGUAGUUGGUUAUUUUGCUUUUCAAUAAAGCCCUCGGCAAUCCAGAGCCUGACAAGAUCAUCACAACGUAGUGUCCAAUCUUCAGGAUACAAAGCACAGUAAAGAAAACAUUGCUUCAGGUUUUGUGGUAGCUGAUCAUAACUCAAGUACAAAGCACCUCUGAGUUCAGCAGGGAGCUUACUUAUGGACCAAGCAUCAUUGUCUAGAAUCUUCUGCCAUUCACUCUCUGUUGUCUCCUUCACUGCAAGAACACUAGCCAUAGUCCUAAUUGCAAGAGGAAGGCCACCACAUUUUCGAACAAUUUCCAUUCCUUUGUCCUGCACGUUGUGCACUUCUUUCUCAUCAGAUAUGUUCAUACUCUUCCAAAGCAGCUCCCAUCCUACUUCCACUGACAUCAAUUCGACUCGAUGCAUGUGUUCCACUCCAAUUGCCUUUGCAACUGUAUCAUGUCGAGUUGUUGUUACAAUUGUUACUUGAGCUGCAGCAUUGAGUGGAGUUCUUAGUAAAUUGGUCCAUACAUCAGACUCCCACAAGUCAUCCAACACAAGGAAAAAGCUGUCUCCUUCAAUGGCUUCUGCAAGUUUGGCUUGAAGCUCUCCGAUGCUUUCACAAUUUUCUUUGUCCACUCCAACAUUUCGAAGUAUUUCAUUCAAUAGAGCAACUUGAGAGUACUGUUGGGAAACGCAAAUCCAUGCAUACUUCUUAAAGUUACCCUUCACUCUUUGAUCAUUGUAUAUUUUCUGAGCUAGUGUUGUUUUUCCAACUCCUCCUGUUCCAACAAUUGCCAUCUUGUAAGCCUUCUUGUCCUUGUGUUCUAGCACCAACCCUACCAAUCUAUUGGUAGCAUGUAUGAUCUCUUUUCCAACAAGAUUUGGUUCUACCAGGUGGGAUGUUUUUCUCAUAUUUGAUACUAAUACUCUAUCAAUAGGUUCUGUUUCAAACUUGAAAUUUGUACCUAACUCUUUAAUCAUCUCUAUUCUUUUGUUGAGGCCUCUAAUCUGUACCGCAAUCUCAUGACGUGUCUUUAGAUUCAAAAAGCAAGAGAAAGUUGCAAAUCCAUUGCAUGUAAUUAAUUUUCUUGAUAAUGAUGAAGAGUUUUCUCCUAGUAGAUUGCUCCCUUUAAACCUGACCAUGUCAAUUAUAUCAUCAGCAUCAUACAUUGCAUCCUUCAGCUCACCAAUCCAAUUACUAACUGCUAAGUCUUCAAUCCUCCUCCGGUCAGCAUCUUUCAGAAAACACUGUAUUUGUGUCAUUGUUCGUUGCAGGUCACUAAGCUCUUGUUUAACACCUAGUAUCUGUAUCGCUUCCUCUAUAAUAAGUUCUUGGAGCUUUUGGAUGCAUGAUCCCGCAAAAGAAAAUAAUAUGGUUGCCAUUAGGUGAAUCCCUGAAGCAGACCCACCACCACCAAUAUAUCUUUUCAGAGCUAAGAAAACCAGUAAUAUGAGGGACUAGCUAGUGAGUUUCCUUGAGCAAGCUUUCACAGUGUUAUUCCAUAAACGAUUGAACUUGGACCUGAAAUUUAUAAAGUUUACAGCAGUAUGUCAAAUCCGUACGCACUUGAAAGAUGUACAACACCACAUGCUCCUAUGAGUACUCAUUAUAUUCUGUAAACUACUACUUGACAUAAUCUCACACUGAUUGCGAAGAGAAUAAAGGAUAUGUAAAUGAUGAAAGCACCUAGGAAAAAUUCACACCAUGCACUAUCGGGCAGAUAGACAAAACCAUCUUGGGUGGACUUAGGUGCAUCCAUCCAUGAGUUUUAGACUCCCUUAUGCACUAUGUUCCAGACUAAAACCCAUGUAAUGGAUCUUUGAUUUCCUUUCACACUAGCCAUUUGUGGAUAUUAUUCUUGUUUUUUGUGCAUUUAUAACUUCAUCUACAAUAAGGACUGAUUGCUAUGCAAAUAGGUCUAUCCUGCUAGUAGAUAGCACCUAGCCUUCCGGAACUCAGGCUUCUGCUUGUAGUUGACUGAGUUUACAUGUUUUUGCUUUGACUUGCCAUUAUAUCUGUAUGUGGAAAGUAUACUCCUUAUUUUUUCAGUGUAAUUGUCUCUUGUGUGCACAUUUAUUUCUGACUUAAGCGCUAGUUCCUGCUCAGCUAAAUAGAAAGAUAAACAUCAAAUGACUCAAACUGACUGAUUUGCAUAUUCUAGCAAUGUUUCCUUUCUAGCAACCUAACUGGUCACAUAUUUCCAUGCUCACAUAUUUCCAACCCUCCUCUCAUACUAAAAACAGCUUUAAAUUUUCAAGAGUUGGUCGACUCAUUUAGCUUCUUUCAUCCAUAAAUCUACUCCAGAAAAUCUGACCUUUCAAGUGCUAGUAAUGUUACAUUGCAAGUCAAAAGAAUAUAGGAGGCUGCAGGAUUUCAUUUCCAUGAAUGAGAAAUGGACGUAACUUGUAACAAUUCUUGGAAGAAGUUAGAAGAUUCCAGUGCGCUCAAGUGCACAAGCCUUACCUGAAUCAAAGACCUAUUUUCAACAGGCCUGACUGACAAUAGAAGUCAAGGAUGCAAGAUCAUCCACCAGCAGCAACAACAGUUUGUUUCUGAAGGUCAACUCAAUACUGAAGGAAGAGGAACAAAGACUAAUUGCUCAAAUAAUAUCCCUCAAUGAACUGAACAUCGAUAGCCAAUAUGUGGUCGUCACCAUGAAAGAGUCACGAUUACUCUGCUUGAAAGGGAAAGAAAAAUGGAUAAAACUGAGAAGGGUAGUUGAAUUGAGAAAUAAAGAAUCUCUGGAUAGUACGGACCUUUGUGCACUACCAGAACUGCAAGCAGAUGACCUUAUUCUUCCUUGACUGGAGAAGACCCAGAGGAUCACUUCAAGCAGCAGUGUGAGGCAGUAAAUUCGACAGAAUUCACAAUGGUAUCCCUCGAAAAAAAAAUAUCAACCGACAAUGAUACACGCCUGCAACUGCAACACAAGUUUGUGAGACUACUGACACUUCGUAACUAUGAAUUAAUCUUAAUGGAACACAUUGUGCUAACCAAUUAAUAGGCAGAUACGGAAUGAAGGAAAUACACCUCUUUCAAAGACAGUACUGUCUCCCAAACCAGAUUGCCUCGCAUCCUCCUCUCCUUUUCCUCACUAUAGCAGAGGAAAUGUGAUGAGUAUUUAUCACUUCAAGCAAUUCACCAUAAUGAAAUAGAAACAGAUAAUUAUGAUGAGCCCAUCACCACAAAAAUGAGUAGUACAGUGUGGUAUGAGCUAUAAGGAGUUAGCAUUCUGUCAUUUUAUUUUGUGAUUUAAAACGAUGUAAUAAAUUGGGACAAUAUUUAGUAUCAUGCAAAAGAAACCUCUACUAUGAUUGUUUGAUUCACCAUGAGCAGACUUAUGGUAAUGACGAUGGAAACCAUGAGCAGAGCAAAAAACAUACCCUGAGCAGAGGCAGAGCAAACCAGAGCUAAAGGACGCAAAUCAGCAGAGAGGUAGCUGGAAACUGGAGAGCCAUCACUUCCUGGCUAAAAGCUUCAUCUUCCUUGUGUCACAUGAAUUGUGCAGCUGAAGGAGCAACUACUCUUCAAUCAUCUCUCUAACAGAAAGAAAAAUGAAGUGGUGCAUAAUCAACACAUGCAAAUCAAGCUUGAGCUAGGAGGAGAAAGAUUAUGAAAUCUGAAUCGUUAUGGACUAACUGUUCAAUUCGAGCUUACCAAACUGAAAGGAUAUGAUGCAGAGACAGAGGAGGAGGAUGAAAACGCAAGGAGCAGUUCCUACUGAAGCAUCCUCUCUAUUCCUCCUCUUAUCGGCAUCACUUGAGCAUCGAGAAAAUGAAUUCUCUGGCAGAAAAUAGUGGACAAAGUAUAGAACAGAUAAAUGUGUGACAACCACACAAUCACUGAAAACCAACAGAUCACACGUUAACUCCUGGAAAAAGUGGAGACACUAGAAAAUGAAUUCUCUAGCAGAAAACAAGUGCAUGAUCAACGAAAUGAGAAGAAAUAGGUGCAUGAUGAAGACACGUAUGUGAAGCGUGACUUAGGAAGAGAGAGAGAGGAAAGAAAACAUCCGAACCCUUUAUGGACCAGACAAUCAAUUUGAGCUUACCAAAUUAAACAACGCAGAAACAGAGGAGCCAGUUGAAAACCCAAAUAGCACUUCCUACUCAACCAUCAUCCCUGUUCCUCCUCUUAUUGACAUCACUUGAGCAGCGAGAAAAUGAAAUCGUGCAGGAAGUUUGUAUGUAGAUUCACCAAUACUUCCCCCUUGCAACAGCGUUGGAUCUCAUUGAUCAGAAAAGCUUGGAAUUUCAGUGCAGUGGCAAGUGCAAUGACCUAACCUUGUAUAAGAAGAUGCAGAUAUGUCAUUGUUGAACAGGUCAUCUGUGGUUGGCGUCGGCGGCCGAGCGGGUCAAGGUCUCCGUCCUCUAGCAUGGGGAAGGGGCCAUGUAGCGUCGUCUAGCCAGUGACAUGCAACUGUAACGAUGGCACGUUACACCUAACAAGGGUAUUGAAAUCUGCCUAAUCUCCAUGCCCAGACACAAGGUCAAGGUCUGUGGUAUGGCCAUCGCUGUCAAGUGUGGAAGGUGAUUGACAAACAAUUGCAACGUCCCCUUGUUCAGACAGCAGUACUACACAGGCAGUCUGAACUUGUAUAGGAAUUGUGGCAUUUUCUGGCCCGAUUUUGAAACCCAAAUUGCUGUACGAUGAAAUGAACAAAAGCACUGAACAGUCAGGCCCCUGCAAAUUUUUCCAGGAUAUUUACUUUAUUCAUUCAAUUCCACUUUGCUGAGUGUUUUUUUCUCUUUUGCCGAGGGCCAAAAUUUGCCAAGUGCCUUUGGAUAUUUUUGUCGAGUGUAAGUCUUUGCUAAGUGUUUCCACUAACAACACCGGGCAAACAUACUAACGGAUGUACACGUGGCACGUUCUUUGCCGAGUGUCCAUGCGCGUUUUUGCCUAGUGUCUUUUGAUCUGUUUACCAUGUGUCGCGUUGUUUGCCGAGUGUUUUUGUGUUGACACUCGACAAAUAGCUUCUUUGCCGAGUGCUUGAUAGAAUACACUCGGCAAAGAACUUGGCACUCGGCAAACCCACAAUUUCCAGUAGUUUUGGGAGAGGUUCUUCACGUCAGGGAGCUCAAAAACGUGUCACUUUUUAUCUUUGAAUAAGAAACCUGUGACAUUGAAUGUGGCUUUAAAGAGUAAGCUGCAAAGUGGAAACUGCUUCCGAUAAAAGUAGUUGGAACUCUUUUUUUAAAAAAAAAGCAUUAUGCUGGAAACAUAUAAACAGAAAUGAGUACGAUUUCACCCAUAUUACGUGUAAGUUGCAGGCACCGGCCAAGAUAUGAUUUUAACCUGCAUUUCUUGUCGCUACUACAGAAUGAAUCUGCCUCGCAUUUCUCCUUGGUUGGUUCACAGAAGAUGCAUGACUAAAAUAAGUAAGAGCAGUUUUUUUUAUAUACAUUAAUGUUGGUAGGAACAGCGAAACAAGAGCUCACUUUUCCUAGCAGCAACAGAAAGCACGCAACAGCCGAUGCAGUUCUUCGCAUUACAAGAUCACAAUCUACAACAGGUGCAAGUUCAUCACAGAAUUAAUUGAGAAACUCAAGUAGCAGUGUAGCACACGUUUUCAUUCAUACAUACACCACAAGGAUGGUCAAACACUUAAAUAACAAGACGCAAGCCUUCCCACAGUCUAGAAACAAGAGAGGAAGCCGUCUGCUCAUCUUGAUUAAUUGCUGUGGUUAGCUCAUAUUUUAUUCUUUUUAUUGAUGGAAGUGGUUUGCUCAUCCUGAUUGCUGUGGUUCUUGAACAAUCAUUCUCCA